GUCCACGCCGUAACGAUGGAUGCUAGCCGUCGGCGAGCUUGCUCGUCCGUGGCGCAGCUAACGCAUUAAGCAUCCCGCCUGGGAGUACGGUCGCAAGAUUAAACUCAAAGGAAUUGACGGGGCCCGCACAAGCGGUGGAGCAUGUGGUUCAAUUCGAAGCAACGCGAAGAACCUUACCAGCCCUUGACAUGCCACGACGGUUUCCAGAGAUGGACUCCUCCCCGCAAGGGGCGUGGACACAGGUGCUGCAUGGCUGUCGU
rnacentral:rRNA from 1 species